UACAAGUGCUGGCAAGCCACACUGUAUCUCCAUUGAACCGUUCAUUAGAACAGUAUAGUAUGCACUUUCUGUUAUGCUAUCAUUAGUCACUAGACAAUGGCCCGGUGAAGCCGGUGAUGGGAACCAACCUUUACCAAUCAGAAUGAAGUAAACAGGUGUAUCAAUCAUAUAGUAAUAAGUAACCUGUGUGAUGUCAAUCAUGUAAUGCUGAGAACCAGUCUGUAAGAAAGAGAAUAAAAGCAGCGGUCUGGGACUAUACCAGGACGCCUCACUGCAACACCGUCUCUGUUUCCCGUUACUACAUCUGGUGACCCCGACGUGAUCCAGACACAAGACCCCCGACUCAUCGGCUGGCAUAGCCUUGGUGCACCUCAGCGCAGUGCGCUCCCUCAUUGCUGCAGUAUUACAACACAUCCGAACCCACAAACCGACCCUUUUUAUCUAGAGCCCAGCGCCAUUAUAGACAGACCGAGCCCCUUCCGGCGCCGAAGGUGAUAUAUCGCAAGUUGCCAGGACCAGAGUGGAGCCUGCCUGUGCCACUCAUCACCUGGGGCCGGGGCUACGCAGCAGUGUCAACUGAAACCGGCCCUGUAUGGGUUCCCGCUCGCUUUGUAAAGCCGUGGAGAGAUGGCCUGGCAUCAGGGGCCAAAGAAUCCCAUUCCGGAUUUCAGCCUGACCCUGACGGAGAGGGUGGACAAGAUUGACAAGGCUCGAAAGCGUGGCACACCCAACGUUGCCAUAACUUGGGGACAAGUCAAAGCUUUAUCACAGCAAGCUGAAUAUGUAUUAGAGCAAACUAAGGCCGAUAAGACUACAGAAAAUUACUUUCUUGCGCUAAUAGCCAGCUUAAAUGCUAAUUCUCUUUGCUGGAUUAUGUACAUUUGUGUGACCGUUCUGUGUUUGCCGCAAGGUGUUGCAACCCCUCUCCCUUCCACCAAUGUGUGGGAGACAUUUAUUCACACUUUAAAUCAGACAUCCUUUUGCCUCUCCCAGCAAGUUACGGUGGGAGACAUUUUAGGUACCUGUCUGAUUCCUGUAUGCCAUAAUCCUAAUGAUGUUGAAAAUGCUACUUGGUUUUAUUCCAGUCUGGAGCCCAAUUCCACUAUUCAUGGUUUGGGCUAUGCUGGCUAUCAUAAUUGGGGACCUCAAACACCUCGUAGACCAAGGAAUGCGCUCGCCCUUCGCACCCCCUAUGCUGCCACACAUAAUAUAACCUGUGCCCGCAUGACUAAUUGUACCAUGAGUAAUUGUAAGCAUUUUCCUGCUCCAGCAAUGAAUUGUUCUGCUGUGACAAAUAUCUCCUAUUUAUAUAAGCAUGUACAGCUACCGGAUGGGUGGUUUUGGACAUGCUCAGGAUAUACUUUCAAUUAUAUGCCCGCCAAUCUUAGUGAUGGCACUUGUUGUUGCCUAAGCCGACUUGCGCUCAUAUUACCAACCAAAAGGCAACUGUCAAACAAUUUGCGAGUUAGUCGCAGUCUCCCUUUGGAUGCUUCCUGUGAUAGCCAUGUACAUUUACUUUCUAAA